rnacentral:rRNA from 1 species
UGGGGAAUCUUGCGCAAUGGGCGGAAGCCUGACGCAGCAACGCCGCGUGUGGGAAGACGGCUUUCGGGUUGUAAACCACUUUCAGGGGGGACGAAGCUUCCGAGGUUAAUAGCCUACGGGGUGACGGUACCCCCAGAAGAAGCCCCGGCUAACUACGUGCCAGCAGCCGCGGUAAUACGUAGGGGGCGAGCGGUGUCCGGAAUCAUUGGGCGUAAAGCGCGUGUAGGCGGCUUGGUAAGUCUGGUGUGAAACCUUGGGGCUCAACCCUAAGCGUGCACUGGAUACUGCCUGGCUUGAGUCCGGGAGGGGAGAGCGGAAUUCCUAGUGUAGCGGUGAAAUGCGCAGAUAUUAGGAAGAACACCGGUGGCGAAGGCGGCUCUCUGGAACGGUACUGACGCUGAGACGCGAAAGCGUGGGGAGCGAACAGG